rnacentral:misc_RNA from 1 species
AACAUCGCGCACCUGCGGGAACCUGCGGAGGGAUCAUUAAUGAUUGGUGGCUGUUGCUGACUAGUGUUUCUAGUAUGUGCACGCCACACCUUCAAUCCCACUCACACCUGUGCACCUUCUGUAAUAGAUCUAUGUGGAUACGGAGAUAUGAAAGUUUGCGCUCUCGUACUCUGUUGAAGCAGUCUACUACGUUUUUUUACACACACACAAUAGUCAUUGAAUGUAUUUUUUAUUCUUAUG